GACAGAGGGUGCAAACGUUGUUCGGAAUUACUGGGCGUAAAGCGCGUGUAGGCGGCUAAGUAAGUCGGGCGUGAAAUCCCAGCGGCUCAACCGUGGAAGUGCACUCGAAACUGCAUAGCUAGAGUCCUGGGAGAGGAAGGUGGAAUGCUUGGUGUAGAAGGUGAAAUUCGUAGAUAUCAAGCGGAACACCGGUGGCGAAGGCGGCCUUCUGGACAGUGACUGGCACGCU
rnacentral:rRNA from 1 species